AUCAUCAUUGCCGAACACAUAAUUCAUUUGAAAAGGUCUUCAUGAAUCGAUUGGACGUACACACUGACAGAAAUAUUUGCCACUGGUCUUUAUACUCAAACAACGAUUCACUCAUAUAUGUAUUACUGAAAAAAGGGUGAGGUUAAUUGUGUGUAGUAUCUCAGAUCCGUUAAAAUACAAUUAGAAAUAAAAAAAAAACAUUACCCUCUCCCUUUGCCAAAUACUCCUUGGAGAAAAAAUACCAUUU
rnacentral:lncRNA from 1 species